UUUUAAAUAAUAGCACAGUGCUCACUUUGGCAACACAUAUACAGAGAAGAUUGGCAUGGCCUCUGUGCAAGGAUGACACACAAAUUCGUGAAGUGUUCCGUUUUGUU